rnacentral:misc_RNA from 1 species
UGCAUUCUUGCAAUGAAUGAAUCAACUCGUCCACGGAAAACUCUCCUCUCUUGCUCCCACCACUGCUUUUUCUCAUAUGUUUCUUCAGUGCCUUCACAUCCCUCCUUCCACAUCAACGGUUUCCACACUCUCUCUGUCUCUGGGUCAAGGUCCACUUUAGGUCUUGGCUUACGCCUCUUGACCAAGUCAAACCGUUCAUAUGGAACGAGUGUGCCUCCUCCUUUGUGUGGCACAAGUGCAUUUUGUGCUUUGUCCUUCAUUUCAUUGCUCCUUUCAUUGAGAUUGAGACACUCCAUUCGAUAUAUAAUUUCUUCAGUUGUGGCAGUGAAUCUUUGCUUUGGCGGUCGCCCUCUUCUUUUAGCAGGCGAUUGCUGAUCUUUCAAGGCGUCCUUAUGUUUUUGUAGCAUUUUACCUUCCCUUAAUGGAAUAGGUUUGGAUUGAUUGGGCCCCAUUGCCUGCUUUCUUGACACAUCAAUGUUGGAAUUUUUGGGUUGUAGUUGCUCUCCAGGUUGAGGGCCUGUUUUGGGAGCAGUUGGUAGGAGCUUGUUAUAAUUCUCAACUCUGGUUAGGGUGGCAAGGUUCUGGAUAUUAGUGGAUCUGUUGGUCUCUUCAAUCCUUUCCAUGCAUGCGUUGGGUCCAGAUAAUAUAUUUUGCUUUGACAAAUCUUGUUCAGAAGCCACUUGAUGUGUGUACAAGUCAGCAGGAAAUCUGGUGGACCUAUUAUUUUCUUUCCUCUUGAAAUUAUAGCUUUCCAAGUAUGAGUUCUGUAUUCCCCUAUUCCUUUGAACUGUAAAUGCAGUUGAGUGGACAUUGUUGCUGCUGCUUAUUUUUAGCGUUGAAUGGUUAACAGCUGCAUGAGAAGGUAGCAAACCAUUUGUAUUUGUCGAGAUUCCAUUUUCAAUCUUCCUCUUCUUUUGAGUCAACGAACAAAGUGCACUAGACAUGCAGCUGUAUAAGUGAUAAUCUGGUGGAUUUGCAGUACAGUUGCCUGUCUGCUCAACAUGAACAAAUUCUCUCUUGUAUCCCCUACCAUCAAUGAAAUGAUGUGAAAUUUCUGCAACUGAUUGAGUAUUAUGAGACAUCAUUUGUGUGCUCCUUUCACGGCUUUUGCAAAUAAUUUUUGCAGGAAAGGCAAUUUGGCCAAUUCCUUCUGCACUGAGAUGCUGCAUUCUGAUAUCUGUUGCUCUAGCAUUGACAUUGAAAUUAUCCAUUUGCACUUCUUUUGUUGAAGCUGGUUGGACUGCAGCUUCUCUUUUGUCUGAAAUUGAAAUGGCUCCGGCUUCUGUUCUAUUUGAAACUGUGGUGUCAUUACACAACAAUUGAUUGCUGGCAUAGGUGAGGUUACUUUUUGCUCCUGAUUGGUGUCCCAACAGUAGCUCACUGUCUUGUCUCAUCUGUAUAUCUGACUUUGUUCUGCACUUCAUGUUAGUUUUAUUGAUUGAAUCAGCAGCUUGAAAACCUGUACUUGAAUUGAAAGUCUCUUUUUUUUUCAGUAUCUCCUGCCGAGCAAAUGAAUUGCUCUCCCCUUCAUCUCUGAUAUUUUCCAAGUCAUCAAAGUUCAAUGCUCUUCUACAUGA